rnacentral:rRNA from 1 species
AUUGAACGCUGGCGGCAUGCUUUACACAUGCAAGUCGAACGGCGGCGCGGGCUUCGGCCUGGCGGCGAGUGGCGAACGGGUGAGUAAUACAUCGGAACGUGCCCAGUAGUGGGGGAUAGCUCGGCGAAAGCCGGAUUAAUACCGCAUACGACCUGAGGGUGAAAGCGGGGGAUCUUCGGACCUCGCGCUAUUGGAGCGGCCGAUGGCAGAUUAGCUAGUUGGUGGGGUAAAGGCCUACCAAGGCGACGAUCUGUAGCUGGUCUGAGAGGACGACCAGCCACACUGGGACUGGGACACGGCCCAGACUCCUACGGGAGGCAGCAGUGGGGAAUUUUGGACAAUGGGCGAAAGCCUGAUCCAGCAAUGCCGCGUGUGUGAUGAAGGCCUUCGGGUUGUAAAGCACUUUUGGCGGGAACGAAAAGGACUGUGCCAAUACCACGGUUCGAUGACGGUACCCGCAGAAUAAGCACCGGCUAACUACGUG